GUGGUACAUGCCUGAUGAAUUCAAUGAAAGGCUUCGAAAAGACAGAGGAGAGGAUUGGCAUAAGAUUCAUAACAUACCCUCCAUUGACAUACGCUAGCUGCAUUCAUGGACGAGGCGUCGAUGCUUGAUGAUAUAUCAUUGAUUAUGUCAAAUUCCUUUAACUGCAAGUCAAGGUUCUAAGCAGGAGCAGGCUGGGUGCUGCAGGGUCAGUUCCAUUGAUCACAGAUGUUCAAUCUGAGGAAUUCAGGCAGGCGCCACAAAAAAGAAUGGGCCUCAUCUAUCACAUAGAUCAACCACAAAAAGGAAAACACUGUGCCAAAUAAAUACAGCAAAACACAGCAGCUCAAGGAAAACAAUGGACAGCAGCCCUGGUAGAUGAUGAAAAGGCUGACUGUUGAAGGUGGGACACAGGGCAAUUGAACCAAAGAAGCAGCUUCAUCUGAAAAACAGAGAUGUGGCUGGCCUUCUGUGGAUUUGCUUCUACUCCUUCUGGAUGCACAACAGGUUAACCGCAAUGCAGCAAGCCCAGCAAGCAUACAACAGACAACCACAGUCCUGCUUGGGCUAAUCACACCUUCCAGCAGACUUCUCCAUCAGCCUCACAAGGAAAUAGCACACCAAUCACCCAGCAUCUCCUCCUGGAUAUCUCCACAGUGAGCCAGGAACUCCUUGCUCUCCUGCUCAGAGUAGCCAACAAUCAGCCCAUCCAUCACCUCUGAUCCUGCUCAGACCGAGCACUGAAGCAGCAUCACAGGAACCAGCCAUGCCGCAGAACAACCGCCAAUCAUCCAGCAUCUCCCAAAGAGCCAUUUCCAGAACCUGCAACAACCAGCAACUUCCUCCACCUACCAAGCAUCCAGCUCCUCCCAAGCAACAGAUCAAUCAUACAAACACCAAGUAGCAACAACAUUACCCAGGGACAGCAAAUGCGGCACAACAUGGCCAUAUGAGAAAAGGCCUAGAGCAGGAGGCAGCUCAUAUGCAAGCCGCACAGUUUUUUUUGGAUUGCCAAAGCAGAGGCGGGGCUGGGGGCAUAACAGGAGCUGACAGCGGAGGGAUGACACAUGUUCACAACAAGGCCCGAAGAUAACUGGCAUCAAGCAAUCAACGAAAGGCCCUGCCUCAUGACCAUUGCUCUCUAAGAGCGGUGAAGAUACCAUGAUCGAUGGCCGUAAUGAGGCUAUUGUUAAACAGGAGAAAGUGCAGAA